ACCCACGUAAAAUAUCCUAGAAGAAAUGUACCACUGAUUUGUCCUAAGGAGACCAGUUUCAGUGUCCUGCACCAAGUUUCUGAAGACUAAGGUGGUGGAGGCAGCAGUCUUAGUAGAAACAAAUCUUUUCCCACCAGGAGGAGAAGUGUUCAUAAUGCAGCUCUGUUUAUCAAUGUACAAAAUGAGAAAUAUUGCAGCUUCUCAGUCUGCCACUUCAAGAUGUUCAGAACCAUUCAUGCUUUGCCAUUACAACACCAUCAUAUCUGCUCAACCAGGAAAAUACUUCAGUGCUCUUGUGAUAAAUAUUUGGGUUGUAAGUAUUGUUAAUUUUGCAGUGCAUGGUGUAAUUGAGUACCCUUAAACAUACAUAAAUUGUCAAGCACUCCGGGUACCUCUCAGCAUCCAAUCUGAUUAUGGAAAUGCUUGUAGGUAAGAUUUUUCCUCCCCAAAAUGUAAUAAACAUAUUUGUAUGAAAUACAUGAAUAAGCAAUGUUUCGAGAUAGACAGAUUAGAACUGUUAGGGAAGACAUUACAUAAAUGUAAGGCAGAUUCCAUCUUGUAGUGCAAGAAAAGAUAUGGGCGACCUUCCAUCGCUUGCUGAUCAAUGCUUCUUGUAUUGCAAAUGCUGAAGUAAUUUUGUUCAGAAUUAUUAGCAACAAGCAGAUAGCUCAAAACUGCAAUGGCUGGUCAAAGAUAAGGAGGAGACAGGGCCUUUUCCAGAACAGACUACUGGCAGGGCUGGCCUCACCUUGUUUUUCUCAGAGAAACUAUGAUUGAUGUAAGAAUAACCCUAGACCAAAAGCCACUGCAUCACUCUACAGUUCCAGCAGCUGCUAGGAAAUAAGGUUUCCUAUUAUUCUUGAGAAUAGGAUAGAAACGAUAGUUUUCAAGCUCAGAGGAUAAUAAGAUUCCCCAAGGGCUCUCAUAACUUA